AUUUGUCCAAUAAUUGUGGAUUUUUUUUUGUUUACGGCACCCUACUUCCAUCUUCGUUUCUCUGAGUGAUGGCGAUGACGACUAUCGAUCUUCUUCGUUUCUCCUGUAACGGAUCGAUUUAUGAUCUCUACUGAUGGCUCUUCAAUUCUUCGGUCCGUCGUCUAACAAUUUAAAAAUUUUGGCAUUCUUAUCUCCCUUGAUCGAUCGGGUGUCUAUUUAUAUGCCUCCCUGUAAUCCCCGUUAACAAAUCUCGCAUUUGUUUCGUUUCAUGAGCAUCGGAAGAAGAAGAAAUCUCACUAGAUGAGAAUCUUCCCUUUUUGUGUUUCCAGGGUUCAAGAGAUUCGUGUAUUGAGUGGAAAAAACAAAGACAAGUUUUGUGCUCUGUAUUUUUGGAAAUUUAGUUGAUAACCUCAUCGCUAUCAAUGGAGAGGGAGGAUCCACCUCCUCCUCCUCGGGAUCAUCAUCAUCAUCCCUUCAAGCCUCUAUGCAAGAAUUUAAACUCUUUGAAACUCAAUCGAAUUUCUAUAUGAUUGGUUGGAAUGGUAAUAGAGUGUAUAGAGUACUAAAGAUAGACCGUUUUGAUGCAUCUGAGAUUACUCUGAGGAUUCCACUGCCUAUACCAAAAAAGAAUGCUACGAGUUGCUUAAACGGAUACACGAAGACAACAAGGCCACAUGCAGCCUCAAACUGUCUCAGGGUUCACUAAGUUUUGGGGACCAUACUACAUGUGGUCACAGGGUCUAUGAAGUGUCGAAGAGUGAGAUAAUUUCUUUGCGUAAUUCUUGCGUGCUUUCCAACAUUGCAAAUUCAAGAGAGGUACAAGAAGCUCCUGUGUAUGGUGGACCUUACAAAGAACUUCUUUUUCAGCUAUUAUUUCAGUAUAAUGCGUAGUUUCCAUGAGAAUAUAUGUGACCAUGAGAGUGGUGAUAUUCUCUAUAAGAAAAUGUUUGUGUGGUACGUGUUCUUGACUCGGGGAAUUCAACAUCAUCUUUAGAAUACCGUCUGGACUGUAGCAUUUGUAUAUGAUUUCUCUAAGCAUGUAUGAAUCGGAUAUAUAUUUUCUGCUCCU